ACUUAAAUAGCUUAAGAAAAGCAUGAUAGUGAAGUUAUUAAGUUAGUCGUUGACUUUUAGGUA
rnacentral:tRNA from 1 species